rnacentral:rRNA from 1 species
AAUAGAUACCCUGGUAGUCCACGCCGUAAACGAUGAGUGCUAAGUGUUAGGGGGUUUCCGCCCCUUAGUGCUGCAGCUAACGCAUUAAGCACUCCGCCUGGGGAGUACGGUCGCAAGACUGAAACUCAAAGGAAUUGACGGGGGCCCGCACAAGCGGUGGAGCAUGUGGUUUAAUUCGAAGCAACGCGAAGAACCUUACCAGGUCUUGACAUCCCAUUGACCACUAUGGAGACAUAGUUUUCCCUUCGGGGACAACGGUGACAGGUGGUGCAUGGUUGUCGUCAGCUCGUGUCGUGAGAUGUUGGGUUAAGUCCCGCAACGAGCGCAACCCUUGUUCUUAGUUGCCAUCAUUUAGUUGGGCACUCUAAGGAGACUGCCGGUGACAAACCGGAGGAAGGUGGGGAUGACGUCAAAUCAUCAUGCCCCUUAUGACCUGGGCUACACACGUGCUACAAUGGACGGUACAAACGGUUGCCAACCCGCGAGGGGGAGCUAAUCCGAUAAAACCGUUCUCAGUUCGGAUUGUAGGCUGCAACUGCCUACAUGAACG